rnacentral:rRNA from 1 species
AUGGUGAAUGUGAUAAUUAAUCUUCCCUUGAGUGGUGGGGUGAACCCGUUCAGGAGGGGUGACAACCUCCUUGUUAUGUGCGACUGCUACACACCACAAGGUGUUCCAAUCCCCACCAACAAGAGGCACAAUGCUGCCAAGAUCUUCAACACCUCGAAGGUUGCAGCUGAGGAGAGAUGGUUGGAAGAAAAGAAGAAGAUCCAGAGAAGAUCUUAG